UACAUGGGGUGCAAACGUUGCUCGGAAUUAUUGGGCGUAAAGCGCGCGUAGGCGGUUACUUAAGUCGGAUGUGAAAGCCCUCGGCUUAACUGAGGAAGUGCACCCGAAACUGAGUAGCUAGAGUACGAAAGAGGGUCGCGGAAUUCCCGGUGUAGAGGUGAAAUUCGUAGAUAUCGGGAGGAACACCUGUGGCGAAAGCGGCGCACUGGACCACAUCUGACGCUGAGGCGCGAAAGCUAGGGGAGCAAACAGG
rnacentral:rRNA from 1 species